UACAGAGGGGGCGAGCGUUGUUCGGAAUUACUGGGCGUAAAGGGCGCGUAGGCGGCCCGCUAAGUCGAACGUGAAAUCCCCAGGCUCAACCUGGGAACUGCGUCGGAUACUGGAUGGCUUGAAUUCGGGAGAGGGAUGCAGAAUUCCAGGUGUAGCGGUGAAAUGCGUAGAUAUCUGGAGGAAUACCGGUGGCGAAGGCGACAUCCUGGACCGGUAUUGACGCUGAGGCGCGAAAGCCAGGGGAGCAAACGGG
rnacentral:rRNA from 1 species